rnacentral:pre_miRNA from 1 species
AUAUCUUUCUUUCUCUCAUAGUUGAGGGGAAUGCUGUCUGGUUCGAGACCAUUCAUUUGAAGAAUAGAAAAUCAUCUGAAUGAUCUCGGACCAGGCUUCAUUCCCCCCAACAAGGUGUGUUUUACCAUUCAAUU